GGUUUGAGCGAACUCUCUCCCUAAAGUCCCCUGGCUUCAGGGUCAUUCGACUUGCAAAUUGACUUGGCUCCUCUCUCACACCCAUGUUUAGGGGGCUGUGGCCAGCAAGGUGUUUUCCAUAGCCCUGGAACGGAAAUCAGGUUGGGCAGCGUGACCAACCGCUGAAGCACCAACCGCUGAAGCACGGCAGGAGGAAUGACUAGAUAGGAUUUAAGGAUGGCUCCCGUGACCGCAGCAUCACAGGGAUGUCAAGAACACACCUUAAGGGAGAGAAAGACCGUUGUGAGGGCUCUCAGGAGCAAGCGCCUUUACUCUCUUGGCAACUUUCCUCGAUGUCCGGUGUCCACGCCCCUCCUAGCUUUGAGCAUCGCUGUCUACUCGUCCUUGAGAGCGUCAGCAAGAAGGAAAUUACUCUGCCAUUUUCAACCACCCCUCAUCCCAAUCUUACCAUACUUAUCCUAGACUGGCUCUUCCAGGACCAGAUCUGAGCCUGAUUCACCUCUGUGUUCCCAAAAUUGAGUACCGGCUGGUACAAGAGUGGUUUCCUACCUAUAUCUGAAGAGUUGAGUAUAUGCAGGGCCCAUCUCAUUCACUGUGUUCUAGGCCCUAGGGUGUUUUUCAACCUAACAGGAAACUGAUCUGGCCUAGGGUGUUGUCUGCAAGUCACCCAUGGGCACCAUUGCCUUCGCCAGGCCGCGGUUUCUUAAUGUAGUACUGGAAGUUCAUGUAUUUUUCCCAAAAGGGUAGGCAAAGUUUUCAAGAGUUUGUGGGUUGUUUUCUGGCAGGGAGGAUCAGCAACAGUCUCCAUCAGAAUUCAGCGGGGUUGUGAGAAGAGACCGGAGAAAGGGUACGGGGAGGAGAAUAGUUCCCGGAAUCAUUUGCCCAGAUCCCUGGGUCACACACCUGCUGUCCUCCUCCGUCCUCCUCCGGCAUGGGAGGAGCCCUGAGCUCCAGGGGUGCAUGUCACUGUUUGGCCCUUUGGAAAGUUCUAUAAACUGGGAUGUGUCCCCUGCAUGC
ensembl:lincRNA 1700029M20Rik RIKEN cDNA 1700029M20 gene